UAUAGUCAACCAUAAAGAAACUCAGUACAUCAGCAAAAAUGAAGAAACUAGUCCUUCUAAUUUUGAACAUAGUUAUGUUUGCAAUUGGCAACUGCGGUGGCCCUUUGAUCCUUCGUGAUCUACUACAUCAAUGGCGGUCAAAGACUUUGGCUUUCUAGUUGGUUGCAAACUGUUGCCUGUCCCAUUAUUCUCAUUCCGCUAGCCAUUUCCUAUUUUCAUAACGCCGAAAACUUGAGGGACCGGACGCUAAAAUUUUCUUUAUAUCUCGUCAAGAACUCGUCAGAGCUGCCGGCGUCAGAAUCAUCGCCGGUCUUGAUGGUUAUUUAAUCUCUUGGGGCCCCGCAAAACUACCCGUUUCAACUUCGACUCUUAUUUUCGCGACCCAACUUGCGUUCCUACACUCUUUUCUGUACUUAUAGUUAAGCAGAAAUUGACGGCGUAUUCAACCUUUGCUGUUGUUUUGUUAAUCGCCGGAGCUGCAUCUCUGGCUCUCCGACCGAACGGCGACCAGCCGGCGGGUGAGUCAGAUGUGGAUUAUGUGUUGGGGUUUGUAAUGACGCUUUUAGGUGCGGUUUGUUUUGGGUUGAUGUUGCCGCUUAUUGAGUUGAUUUAUAUGAAGGCAAAACAAGCGAUUACUUAUACUACUGAGUUGGAGAUUCAGAUGAUUAUUGCUAUUCCCGCUACUGCUUUUUGCACCGUUGGAAUGAUAAUUAAUAAGGAUUUUCAGGUACUACGGGAUGAGACACACUCAGAGUUAUCGAGAGCAUGCUUAUCUUUGGAUCAGGGAUCACUUAAAUAAGAGAUGGCUCAAUCCCGAGACUGUUUGAUUCGGAAAUAAUAUUUCUCAAUAAGAGCCCGGAGUUGCCUUCGGAGUUAGUGAUAUCAGCAGUAUA